rnacentral:misc_RNA from 1 species
UUUCACCAGGAUAUUAUCCAAGUACAAAAUUUAAAUCCAUGAGUUUUUAUCAAGGAUUUAAGAAUCUCUGGGGUCCUAAUCACCAGAGUGUAGAUAACAAUGGCAUUAAUAUUUGGCUUGAUAGAAAUUCAGGCAGUGGAUUCAAGUCGGUUAAACCGUUUCGAUCCGGGUAUUUUGGGGCUUCUAUUAAACUCCAACCCGGUUAUACGGCCGGAGUCAUCACCGCUUUCUACCUUUCAAAUAAUGAAGCACAUCCAGGGUUCCAUGAUGAAGUGGACAUAGAA